rnacentral:lncRNA from 1 species
AGGUUUAGUUGCUCUCAGGCAUGGAAGAUAAAGGGCACCUACUGAACACUUCCCGUCUGGAGCUACAUGUAGCAUAAAGAGAGAAUGAACCUACAGGAGCUCAUCAUUAAUAUAAGUGUUGUUCCACUUCACAGUUGACCAAGAACUACUGUCACCACUGCCAAUGACAAGUGUGUAACUAAAGGCACACAUGCUCUUAGGAUGGACACCUGUAAGCCAAAGAGAGAACGACUGGCAGGACCAUCAACUACUAUUUAAAUGCUACAGGCUAAAUCUAGAUUUGCUGAAUGGAGAAAUCAUCUCAAGAUGGAGCUUAUAAUAUCUCAUACAGAACAAGUAUUGGAACAGAAAAUGUGGUCUUGCUGCACGCUGUCUUCAAGUCUGCGUCAGAGUCCCUGGUGUGGAGGGCAUCUUCUCAACCUACUCAUUCCUCUGGGAUUUGAAAACCACAUCUGGAUAAGAUAG